rfam:Camelus ferus unplaced genomic scaffold scaffold2630, whole genome shotgun sequence.
GGGUGUAGCUCAGUGGUAGAGUGCAUGCUUAGCAUGCACAAGGUCCUGGGUUCAAUCCCCAGUCCCUCCA